rnacentral:rRNA from 1 species
UACGUAGGUGGCAAGCGUUGUCCGGAUUUACUGGGCGUAAAGCGAACGCAGGCGGACCUUUAAGUAGGACGUGAAAGGUUGGAGCUCAACUCUAACACUGCUCCCUAUACUGGAGGUCUUGAGUGCCGGAGAGGAAGACGGAACAAGUUGUGUAGCGGUGAAAUGCGUUGAUAUAACUUGGAACACCAAUGGCGAAAGCAGUCUUCUGGACGGAUACUGACGCUCAGGUUCGAAAGCCAAGGUAGCAAACAGG